rnacentral:rRNA from 1 species
CCGUGUGCAUACAAACAGUAGGAGCCUCUUCGGGGGUGACUGCGUACCUUUUGUAUAAUGGGUCAGCGACUUACAUUCAGUGGCAAGGUUAACCGAAUAGGGAAGCCGUAGAGAAAUCGAGUCCGAACAGGGCGAUAGUCGCUGGGUGUAGACCCGAAACCAAGUGAUCUACUCAUGGCCAGGAUGAAGGUGCGGUAACACGCACUGGAGGUCCGAACCCACUAAUGUUGAAAAAUUAGGGGAUGAGCUGUGGGU